rnacentral:lncRNA from 1 species
CUUCUUCACUGUGUAGUUAUUUUCUUGAAGCUCCACUUUCCUACAGUACUCCUUGAAAGAGAUUGGGACACAAUUAUGGGGUAGAAAAUUAUGGUCCACAUAUUUAAGGGUGGCGUAAUUUCCACAUAAACAUAAUUAUGAGAUCUAAUGUACAACAAUGUGGCCAUAGUUAACAACACUGCAUUUCAUAUUUGAAAUAUUCAGCCUUAAAAGAAAGAAAUUCUGUGAUCUGUGACAACAUGAAUGUACAUCAGGGACAUUAUGGCCUCCCAAAGAAUCUCCUUUUAAGGUUACAUUCUGUUCUCAGCCCCACGCAAACUUCUACCGACCUUCAAAUCAAACGUGCAACCUACAGAUAUAUGGAAAGCAGAAUUUGUAAGCAAUAAAUUUGGAUAUUUACUGGAGGAAAUUUUCAAGCAAGUGCUGAAGAUGCAGCUCAUUUUUUUCUUGGUACUUACAGUAAAGUGACAGAGGAAAGAGUAAUCCAUAAUGGAGUAAUCCCAGGAGGUAAUCAAGAACUGACUAUAAGUUGAAAAUACAUUGGUUACGUGGCAACGCACUUGAAGAAAAAUCUUUAAAGUGGAAAAAACAAGUACCCAAUUAAGUGGGAGGGUAAGCAAGCACCUGGUCCUAAAAUGCACUCAAUUAAA